AUCAAUGAAUACCUUUUUCACAAAGUCUGUACAUUGCGACCGCUGACCAAAUUGCUAUUACAGUGUCUGGCAUUUCUUAAAGUGUGUAUUGUGUAUAACUGCCCCUGGAGAGCUACCGUAUGGUUUUGUAUUUAAGUGCCAUUGAAAACAGCCAAGCACUGCUGGAGACGUAGCUUGCGUACAUUAUUGUAAAUUCUCUGAGGUCGUCCCUGAAAAGCUAUGGAGGGAGUUUUGCACUACGAUUUCCUGUCAAGGCACCUCAGUGUAAUUAGCGAGGCCUAAUGCGUGCAUUGCCAACAUUACUUUCAGCUGUACUAUAGGAAAAUGGCCAGGUCUCAGCCCAUUGUAGUUAUUAUAUUAAUUGGUGUUAUCUUAAUAUUGUUCUGGAAAUGGAAGUUUGAUUUGAAAAUGAUGUCGUUUAAACAAGAAGAAAGACCGUCUUUGUCACAAUUAUUAGAAAGUAAUCUUAUUCAUUCAGAUUUUACGGACCAUGACAAGCCACCUCCACCUAUAGAGGAAAUUUUGGCAAACAAGCCAUUGGGGCCUCCUGGCCAUUCCAGUGCUGAACAAGAAUUGGAAAGAAUAUGGAAUUAUGCUUAUACGAAGCAGUACAAAUGCACAAAUAGUCUUUAUCUUGGCGGUGACCCUAAAGUCCUCAUGGACGGAGCAUACGACGUUUGUAUAGAACCCCAGUUCUGGAAAACAAGGGAACCAGGCUACAAAUGCCUAAUGUAUUCGUUCGGAGUGGGAAACGAUUUUUCGUUUGACGAUGAAAUGGCAAAGCAAGGUUGUGAGGUUCACUCAUUUGACCCAACGAUGACAUUUAAUGACGGUAUGGUCAGGGAAAGCGGAGUCACAUUUCACAAGAUUGGUGUUUCUGAUCAAGACGUGGACCGAAACGCAAACGGUUGGAAAAUGCGAACUUUAAAAACACUGUUGAAAGAACUCGGACACAAUGGACGGUAUUUAGAUUACUUGAAAGUAGAUACAGAUGCGCCUGGAAGAGGCGGGUUCGAAGAUACGGUAAUGCAAGAACUCCUAGACACAGGUCUUCACAGCUGUGUACGCCAAUUUGCCCAAGAGGUACACGUCAUGGGGCCUCUUAACUCUCCCGAGAAGCUGCAGCGAUGCAGAUUACUUUACCGCCAGAUGACGCUGCUGAACCAGCAAGGGUGGCGACUUUACAACACAACAGAUAACGUAAGAUGGAACCAAUUGAAAAUAAAAUCUUCUUUCACGCAAUGGGACAACAGAGCGGACAUAAUGAACAAACAGUCUCCAAUUCUAUGGGAAACUGCAUUUGUGAAUUUCAACGUAAAAGGUCCUUGCAGGGUUUUAUAAGUUUACGAACUUUCAAAGUCGAAUGUAGGUGCAUUGUCACACUAAAAGAUUUCGUUAUAUUAUACUGUGUUUACGGACUUUUGGUUUCUGCCCGAUUUUUUUAAAAGAAAAUAUAGCGGUAUAUCUUUGAAAAAAAAUGUUGCGUUAGCGUAAAUGUUACAACUUCUGAAACUAUUCGACUUACAGAAACCGAUUUUGUUCAACAAUUUUAAUUUCACAUAUAUAUCAAACAUUUUUAGUUCUUAGUAAUAACACACAUCCCGCAAUUAAGAAAUAAUUCGUUACAAAUACCCUUGCUUUAUGGGGCCCCUAAGUUUCAGAAUAUUAUAGAACUGUGUGAUAAGGUGGGAUACCUUUAGCACAUAAACAAAUUCUGAUUAUGCUCUUUUAUAGUCGCGAGGCUAUUUGUAUAAUUCUGUAAAAAAAUAUUUGUUUACUGCCAGCAAACGGCACAAGGAAAGUAUGGAACUUGUAUUAGCCUAUUCUUUACUAUGAUUUGUCCAAUAUAUUAAAAUUAUACUCACAUUUGCAACGA